rnacentral:snRNA from 1 species
GUGCUCACUUUGGCAGCACAUAUACUAAAAUUGGAACGAUAUAGAGAAGAUUAGCAUGGCCCCUGCACAAGGAUGACAUACAAAUUCGUGAAGUGUUCCAUUAAAAA